rnacentral:tRNA from 2 species
GGCGAGAUAGAGCAGACUGGUAGCUCGUCGGGCUCAUAACCCGAAGGUCAGGGGUUCAAAUCCACUUCUCGCUA